rnacentral:rRNA from 1 species
GACAAACGCUGGCGGCGUGCUUAAUACAUGCAAGUCGAACGGUCCUCAUUCGUGAGGAUAGUGGCGGACGGGUGAGUAACACGUAGAUGACCUGCCCUGAAGUGGGGAAUAACACCGAGAAAUCGGUGCUAAUACCGCAUAAGCUCUCUAAGGUGGCUUAGAGAGGAAACCCGGGAGCAAUCCUGGGGCUAUAGGAGGGGUCUGCGGCGGAUUAGCUAGAUGGUGGGGUAAAGGCCGUACCAUGGCGACGAUCCGUAGCUGGUCUGAGAGGACGAUCAGCCACACUGGGACUGAGACACGGCCCAGACUCCUACGGGAGGCAGCAGUAAGGAAUAUUCCCCAAUGGCGAAAGCCUGAGGGAGCGACGCCGCGUGCGGGAGGAAGCCUUUCGGGGUGUAAAGCAC